AGUUUGAUUCUGGCUCAGGAUGAACGCUAGCGGCAGGCUAACACAUGCAAGUCGAGGGGCAGCGCGAGUAGCAAUACUUGGCGGCGACCGGCGCAAGGGUGCGUAACGCGUGAGCAACAUGCCCGUAUCAGGGGGAUAAUCCAGGGAAACUUGGUCUAAUACCCCACUAGUAAUUUUGUAAGGCAUCUUAUAAGAUUUAAAGCUUUGGUGGAUACGGAUUGGCUCGCGUGACAUUAGCUGGAUGGUAAGGUAACGGCUUACCAUGGCUAUGAUGUCUAGGGGUUCUGAGAGGAAGGUCCCCCACACUGGAACUGAGACACGGUCCAGACUCCUACGGGAGGCAGCAGUGAGGAAUAUUGGACAAUGGAUGGAAAUCUGAUCCAGCCAUGCCGCGUGAAGGAAGAAGGUCCUAUGGAUUGUAAACUUCUUUUGUAUGGGAGCAAUAAGGCCUACGAGUAGGUUGAUGAGAGUACCAUACGAAUAAGCACCGGCUAACUCCGUGCCAGCCGCCGC
rnacentral:rRNA from 1 species